GUCACAAAACACAACAUUUCAUGUGGAUAUCGGCUUCAAACUGUGGCAUGUAUGAAGUCAUUUUACUGUUUUGGUGUGCAGUACAUUCCAGUUUAAAGUUCACAUUUCCCAGUUAAGUGGAAUUACAUGGCAUAUGACAGCUUCAAUGCUGUGCACUGUUUGGGUGUGUGGUGUGAUCUAGUCUCCAGUCAGAAUCUCAGAGCUGAAGUUUGAGCCCUUAGACAAGAGGAGGAGCACAGCAGCAAGUGGGAUGUUUUCUCUGUGAAGAGGAUUGAAGUAGCAAUGAACAUUAUUAUGGUGACAUCAGAUUAAAGUGAUUGAGUGAAGAACUGAUUCCAAGCAGAACUGUUUACCAGCCUCCACAUGAACUACACCAUGUGCCCUACCAUGAUGAUCUCAGUAGCACUGCUACUAUUUUUAACCAUUCUAGGUAGGAGUACUGGAAGCCCUAUUGCUCCAGAAAGUGUAGAGAAGUAUGCCGUAGAAGGACAAAAUGUUCAGCUCUCCUGCAGGUACAAUGGAACUGCUUAUGGUCUGUAUUGGUAUCGCCAGUUCUCCCAGUCUGUGCCUGAGUUUCUCAUUCUGGAUUAUCAAGGUGUUAUCACCAACGCAACUCCUCCUGUUCCUGGGAUAUCAAUUAGACAUACCAAGGCAGCAAGACAAGUGUUCUUGGAGAUCUCAUCUACUAAUGUGUCAGACUCUGCUCUUUACUAUUGUGCCAUGGAGCCCACAGUGUCAGGAAACUCAGCUGCGCUCAACAAAAACCCUCACAGCUUUUAGGUGAUGGCAAAGACAUAGAAAA